CAAUAAGUAGUUUAAGUUAAAAUGUUAAUUUUGGAGAUUAAUGAUGGUUUUUACUCUUAUUGA
rnacentral:tRNA from 1 species